UCUUCCCAACCCAGGGAUGGAACCUGCAUCUCUUAACAUCUCUUGCAUUAGCAGGCAGGAAGAGGAUGUCACCAACAAGCCAUUCCAGGUGCCCGUCGGCAAGCCCACAGCUUCACCAGCGCUCACAGCGUCCUUGCCUUUCUCUUCCACCUUUCCUCGCAACAAAUGCUAAGCCCAGCAUGGCGAUGGCUGUUCCCCUGCCUUCAAACUCUGGUGACCUUCCCUCUAUGUGCCGCACUCACAAAUUCCUACUCAUUCCUCAGGUUUCUGCUUGGAAGCUCCUCCCUUGAGAAGCUCUCCCUGGCAUCCCUGUGCUGGUGGGUUGUGACACCCAUCACUUGUCUGUGCAUCACCACCCCCCAACGCCCCCAGAAGGCAGGAUUCCUUGCCGAGCCCCAGGUACUGGUAUGAUGCUUGGUCCAUAGCAGCGGCUCAGCAGACACCUGCCGAAUGGCAGAAAGCAGACUCCCUUGGGGGGCGGGGGCGGCGGAAGGGAGGCUUGCAGCCUCCUGACCACGCCCCAGCCUCACCAGCCAAGUCAGGCUGCUGCCUCGAGGCUGGACCACUUCCCCGCAGACCCGGGCCUGCGUUGGUGCUGUCCGCAAAGAACUUUGGUUUGAAAAAACUAAGGCUCUGGGCCACCCACCCUCGGCUGGGGACUCUGAGUGGCCGGAGUUCACAACCAGGACCCAGAAAACCACCGUCUGGAACCGCACCAAGUGUGCCUGGAUGGCCAGCAGACUAAGUAAGGGUUAAAGUCUGAACCAGAGACACACAGCCUGACGGAUCCGCGCCUAAUUGCAGGGCAGGCCAGCUGGAGCCUGGGCCACAUCACAGGCUUCGGGGCUCCUUUCAAGGGUGAGCGGCUCCCAGGGUUCCCCCUGACUCCACCACACAGGGUCACAGAGGGCUCCCUUUGGUACAAAAGACCCCUUGAUUUAUUUCUUCUCUUGUGGCAGCAACGGACAUUCUGCGCUUUCUUCAAACAGGUCUUUUUAUUCCACUGUCUUUGAGAAAAGCUAAUAAAGAAUCAAUUACAAGAGAUACACACAAAUAGAAACUGGUAUUUAUCUAGGCGGGAUGUCUGCUGAAAAGUAAAAGAGACCAUUAAA